UCUGGCACGCACUGCAUACAUGAU
rnacentral:piRNA from 1 species